rnacentral:rRNA from 1 species
GAUGAACGCUGGCGGCGUGCCUAUUACAUGCAAGUCGAGCGAACGGACGAGAAGCUUGCUUCUCUGAUGUUAGCGGCGGACGGGUGAGUAACACGUGGAUAACCUACCUAUAAGACUGGGAUAACUUCGGGAAACCGGAGCUAAUACCGGAUAAUAUUUUGAACCGCAUGGUUCAAAAGUGAAAGACGGUCUUGCUGUCACUUAUAGAUGGAUCCGCGCUGCAUUAGCUAGUUGGUAAGGUAACGGCUUACCAAGGCAACGAUGCAUAGCCGACCUGAGAGGGUGAUCGGCCACACUGGAACUGAGACACGGUCCAGACUCCUACGGGAGGCAGCAGUAGGGAAUCUUCCGUAAUGGGCGAAAGCCUGACGGAGCAACGCCGCGUGAGUGAUGAAGGUCUUCGGAUCGUAAAACUCUGUUAUUAGGGAAGAACAUAUGGUAAGUAACUGUGCACAUCUUGACGGUACCUAAUCAGAAAGCCACGGCUAACUACGUG